rnacentral:rRNA from 1 species
AUUGAACGCUGGCGGCAGGCUUAACACAUGCAAGUCGAACGGUAACAUAAAGAAGCUUGCUUCUUUGAUGACGAGUGGCGGACGGGUGAGUAAUGCUUGGGAAUCUAGCUUAUGGAGGGGGAUAACUACGGGAAACUGUAGCUAAUACCGCGUAGAAUCGAGAGAUGAAAGUGUGGGACCUUCGGGCCACAUGCCAUAGGAUGAGCCCAAGUGGGAUUAGGUAGUUGGUGAGGUAAAGGCUCACCAAGCCGACGAUCUCUAGCUGGUCUGAGAGGAUGACCAGCCACACUGGGACUGAGACACGGCCCAGACUCCUACGGGAGGCAGCAGUGGGGAAUAUUGCGCAAUGGGGGCAACCCUGACGCAGCCAUGCCGCGUGAAUGAAGAAGGCCUUCGGGUUGUAAAGUUCUUUCGGUAGCGAGGAAGGCAUUUAGUUUAAUAAACUAGGUGAUUGACGUUAACUACAGAAGAAGCACCGGCUAACUCCGUGCCAGCCGCCGCCGUAACAC